GAAGCAACCACACACUGAGCACAAGAAUGAUGAUAGCAAUGAAGUUGAGGAAAUAAAUAGCAUACCCCUGGCAAGCAAAGAUUUGCAACCUAGAGAGAGCAUGGAGUCUCUGUCGCUGGAAGUUUAUGCACGUCUGGGAUGGUUUAGACAGGUAUGAUCCUGCCUUGAG